rnacentral:ncRNA from 1 species
CAACCUCAACUCAUAUGGGACUACCCCCUGAAUUUAAGCAUAUUAAUUAGGGGAGGAAAAGAAACUAACAAGGAUUUUCUUAGUAGCGGCGAGCGAAAAGAAAUCAGUUCAGCACUAAGUCACUUUGUCUAUAUGGCAAAUGUGAGAUGCAGUGUACGGAACAUCAACAUUCUAGUAUGAGAAGUUAACGAUUUAAGUCCUUCUUAAAUGAGGCCAUUUACCCAUAGAGGGUGCCAGGCCCGUAUAACGUUAAUGAUUACUAGAUGGUGUUUCCAAAGAGUCGUGUUGCUUGAUAGUGCAGCACUAAGUGGGUGGUAAACUCCAUCUAAAACUAAAUAUAACCAUGAGACCGAUAGUAAACAAGUACCCGUGAGGGAAAGUUGAAAAGAACUCUGAAUAGAGAGUUAAAUAGUACGUGAAACUGCUUAGAGGUUAAGCCCGAUGAACCUGAAUAUCCGUUAUGGAAAAUUCAUCAUUAGAAUUGUAAUAUUUUAAACAAUAUUAUAAUAAUAGUGUGCAUUUUUUCCAUAUAAGGACAUUGUAAUCUAUUAGCAUAAAUAUUUAUCAUAAAAUUAUGUCUGAUUGCUUAUUUGAAUUAUAUGCU